rnacentral:rRNA from 1 species
GACGAACGCUGGCGGCGUGCUUAACACAUGCAAGUCGAACGGAAAGGCCUGCUUUCCCUUGUGGAUUGCGGGUACUCGAGUGGCGAACGGGUGAGUAACACGUGAGUGAUCUGCCCCCAACUUGGGUAUAAGCCUGGGAAACUGGGUCUAAUUCCCGAUAGGACUGCAGGGUGGUGCCUGUGGUGGAAAACGAUUUUCUAGUGGUUGGGGAUGAGCUCGCGGCCUAUCAGCUUGUUGGUGGGGUAAUGGCCUACCAAGGCGGCGACGGGUAGCCGGCCUGAGAGGGUGGACGGCCACAUUGGGACUGGGAUACGGCCCAGACUCCUACGGGAGGCAGCGGUGGGGAAUAUUGAACAAUGGGCGGAAGCCUGAUGCAGCGACGCCGCGUGGGGGAUGACGGCCUUCGGGUUGUAACUCCUUUCGACCGCGAGGAAGCCACCUGGUUGGAAGGGUGGUGACGGUAGUGGUAGAAGAAGCACCGGCUAACUACGUG